AUGUGGCAUGCAUUUACAUGAAAUUUUACAUAUGCACACAUGCAUAUGUAUGUAUUUACAUAAGUACAUACACAAAAAUUUAUAUGCUUUGCAUACCGACUUACAUCAGUUCGCAUACCAUUUGUAAGCGGCGCCGUGAAAAGCAAAAAAAACCGAGAUUCUCCACUCGCUCUUGUAACGACAGACGAAAAGUGUGCUUUCGAGACAGCUGCUAGCCUUAGCGCGUACAUACAUACAUAUGUGUGGCAAAUAAGUUGUGUCGUUUCGAUUUGAGGCUUGUGAAAAAACGCAAUUCAAUCGCUGUGAAUUCUACAAAAAAGCUCGAAUAAAAUUUCCUUAACAAAUGCUCAAAUAAAAACACUGGAAAAAACUUGCGAAAAAUCGAAUUUCGUUGCGUGGAAAAAGAAUUGUGUGUGUAUGAAUGACAACGAAAAUUAACCAACUCCCAACUUUCUUUCUUGACGUUUUCGCAAAUACAACAUUAGCAGCAGCGGCAUCAACAACAAUUAAAAACACAGCUGCUUUAGCAUCAUCAUCACCGCUUUUUCGUUUCCCUCCGCUGUAAAUUCAACGCUAAACGGCAACAUCGCUGCCGUUGCAUUUCAAUGAGGCCAGCAAUAGUAGCAGCGGCGCGGAGCCAUUCAGUCUGCACGUUUUCGUUAUCAGCCGGGAUUAAGGCUUAAGGAUUAAAGGUGCUUCAACUGCCUGUGUGUGUGUGUGUGCGUGCGGAACAACUGGCGAAGGAAGCGCGCACAAGACGAAGGUGAAGCGGAAGAGCAAAGGUAGUA